rnacentral:rRNA from 1 species
AAUGAACGUUGGCGGCAUGGAUUAGGCAUGCAAGUCGAGCUAGAAGAGUUUUGAAGCUUGCUUUAGAACUCGGACAGCGGCGAAAGGGAGAGUAACGCGUAGUUAUGUGCCCUAGGGUCCGGAAUAGCCACGGGAAACUGUGGGUAAUGCCGGAUAAUAUCCUCGGAUCAAAGGUGUGAUUCCGCCGUAGGAGCAGACUGCGUCCUACGAGCUAGUUGGUGGGGUAAUGACCCACCAAGGCAAUGAUGGGUAGCGGGUGUGAGAGCAUGACCCGUCUCACUGGGACUGAGACACUGCCCAGACACCUACGGGUGGCUGCAGUCGAGAAUCUUCGGCAAUGGGCGAAAGCCUGACCGAGCGAUGCCGCGUGCGGGAUGAAGGCCCUCGGGUUGUAAACCGCUGUCGUAGGGGAGGAAGGUUCCGUGAAGAGCGGGACUUGACCUAUCCUAGGAGGAAGUACGGGCUAAGUUCGUGCCAGCCGCCGCGGUAA